GCUUAACACAUGCAAGUCGAGGGGUACGACUCCGUCUUCGGAUGGAGGUCGACGACCGGCGCACGGGUGAGUAACGCGUAUGCAACCUACCUUUUACAGGAGGAUAGCCCAGAGAAAUUUGGAUUAAUACUCCAUAGUACUAAUGAAUCACCUGGUUUAUUAGUUAAAACUCCGGUGGUAAAAGAUGGGCAUGCGUGUCAUUAGCUAGUUGGUAAGGUAACGGCUUACCAAGGCGAAGAUGACUAGGGGUUCUGAGAGGAAGAUCCCCCACACUGGUACUGAGACACGGACCAGACUCCUACGGGAGGCAGCAGUGAGGAAUAUUGGUCAAUGGGUGAGAGCCUGAACCAGCCAUGCCGCGUGAAGGAAGACUGCCCUAUGGGUUGUAAACUUCUUUUCUGCAGGAAGAAAUCACUCUACGUGUAGGGUGUUGCCGGUACUGCAGGAAUAAGCAUCGGCUAACCCCGUGCCAGCAGCCGCGGUAAUACGGAGGAUGCAAGCGUUAUCCGGAUUUAUUGGGUUUAAAGGGUGCGUAGGCGGGCUUGUAAGUCAGUGGUGAAAUGCUGUGGCUUAACCAUAGAAUUGCCAUUGAAACUGCAAGUCUUGAGUACAGUUGAGGUGGGCGGAAUGAGUAAUGUAGCGGUGAAAUGCAUAGAUAUUACUCAGAACUCCGAUUGCGUAGGCAGCUUGCUAAACUGUAACUGACGCUGAUGCACGAAAGCGUGGGGAGCGAACAGGAUUAGAUACCCUGGUAGUCCACGCUGUAAACGAUGA
rnacentral:rRNA from 1 species